AUUGAACGCUGGCGGCACGCCUAACACAUGCAAGUCGAGCGGCAGCGAGACUAGUAGCAAUACUAGUUGUCGGCGAGCGGCGGACGGGUGAGGAACACGUAGGAACUUGCCCUUUAGAGGGGGAUAACCAAGGGAAACUUUGGCUAAUACCGCGUAAACUCGAAAGAGGAAAGCUGCCCGCAAGGGUGGCGCUAAAGGAGAGGCCUGCGUCUGAUUAGCUAGUUGGUGAGGUAAUGGCUUACCAAGGCGAUGAUCGGUAACUGGUCUGAGAGGACGACCAGGAACACUGGGACUGGGACACGGCCCAGACUCCUACGGGAGGCAGCAGUGGGGAAUAUUGGACAAUGGGGGCAACCCUGAUCCAGCGAUGCCGCGUGGGUGAAGAAGGCCUUCGGGUUGUAAAGCCCUUUAGGUUGGGAAGAAGUGAAUUGUAGGAUAAUGACAGUUCAUUGACGGUACCGACAGAAUAAGCACCGACAAACUCUGUGCCAGCCGCCGCCGUAA
rnacentral:rRNA from 1 species